GGUCAGAUGGCCGAGCGGUCUAAGGCGCCAGACUAAGGAUCAGCUUCGAUUGAAGCAACAUUGUCACGAUACGUGUGACAUCUGGUCCUCCGGGGCGUGGGUUCGAAUCCCACUCUGAUCA